GCCUCUGUAACUCAGUUGGUUAGAGCGCUGCACCGGAAUCGCAGGGCCGUAGGUUCAAUUCCUACCAGAGGAC
rnacentral:tRNA from 1 species